GACGAACGCUGGCGGCGUGCCUAAUACAUGCCAGUAGAACGCACAGUUUAUACCGUAGCUUGCUACACCAUAGACUGUGAGUUGCGAACGGGUGAGUAACGCGUAGGUAACCUGCCUGGUAGCGGGGGAUAACUAUUGGAAACGAUAGCUAAUACCGCAUAAUAUUGAUUAUUGCAUGAUAAUUAAUUGAAAGGUGCAAUUGCACCACUACCAGAUGGACCUGCGUUGUAUUAGCUAGUAGGUGAGGUAACGGCUCACCUAGGCGACGAUACAUAGCCGACCUGAGAGGGUGAUCGGCCACACUGGGACUGAGACACGGCCCAGACUCCUACGGGAGGCAGCAGUAGGGAAUCUUCGGCAAUGGACGAAAGUCUGACCGAGCAACGCCGCGUGAGUGAAGAAGGUUUUCGGAUCGUAAAGCUCUGUUGUAAGAGAAGAACGGGUGUGAGAGUGGAAAGUUCACACUGUGACGGUAUCUUACCAGAAAGGGACGGCUAACUACGUG
rnacentral:rRNA from 1 species